CCUACGGGAGGCAGCAGUGAGGAAUAUUGGUCAAUGGGCGGGAGCCUGAACCAGCCAAGUCGCGUGAAGGAAGAAGGUACUUAGUAUUGUAAACUUCUUUUGUCGGGGAACAAAGGCGGAGACGCGUCUCCGGAUGAGUGUACCCGAAGAAAAAGCAUCGGCUAACUCCGUGCCAGCAGCCGCGGUAAUACGGAGGAUGCGAGCGUUAUCCGGAUUUAUUGGGUUUAAAGGGUGCGCAGGCGGGAGAUCAAGUCAGCGGUAAAAUGUCGGGGCUCAACCCCGGCCGGCCGUUGAAACUGGUUGUCUAGAGUUGGAGAGAAGUAUGCGGAAUUCGUGGUGUAGCGGUGAAAUGCAUAGAUACCACGAAGAACUCCGAUUGCGAAGGCAGCAUACCGGCUCCAGACUGACGCUGAGGCACGAAAGCGUGGGGAUCGAACAGGAUUAGAUACCCCAGUAGUC
rnacentral:rRNA from 1 species